UGAAGGUUUGGUCCUAGCCUCAACAUUAGUUUAAACUUGGUUUACACAUGCAAGUCUCCGCACUCCGGUGAGGAAGCCCUGAGUAAACUAUUAUUUAUUUAGGUGCUGAUAUCAGGCACACAUACAAACUAGCCCACGACAUCUCGCUUAGCCACACCCACAAGGGACCUCAGCAGUGAUAAAUAUUGUACCAUAAGCGUAAGCUUGAAACAACCAAAGCUUUAAGUGCCGGUCAACCUCGUGCCAGCCACCGCGGUUACACGAGUGGCACAAAUUAAUGUUUAACAGCAUUAAGGGUGAUUAAGAAACUCCUCACUACUACUAAAGAUUAAACCUCAUUAAGCUGUCAUACGCUUACAUGCUCAAAAAAUUACACUCACGAAAGUAACUUUAAGUAUACAGAAAAUCCGACCUCACGAAAGUUAAGACCCAAACUAGGAUUAGAGACCCUACUAUGCUUAACCAUAAAUAUUGAUAUUUCAAUACCUUAAUAUCCGCCCGAGAACUACAAGCGCUAGCUUCAAACUCAAAGGACUUGGCGGUGCUCCACCCACCUAGAGGAGCCUGUUCUAUAACCGAUGAUCCGCGUUUUACCCUACCACUCCUUGCUCUUCCAGCCUAUAUACCGCCGUCGCCAGCUCACCCCACAAGGAAUAUAAAGUAAGCAUAAAGAUUCUCUCAUCAACACGUCAGGUCGAGGUGUAGCAAAUGGAGCGGAAAGCAAUGGGCUACAUUCACUUAAAAGUGAACACGAACAGAAUUAUGAAAACUAUCUCAAAGGUGGAUUUAGCAGUAAGCAUACUUUAGAACAUUAUACUGAAACCGGCCCUGGAGCGCGCACACACCGCCCGUCACCCUCCUCAAAACAAAUUAACAUUUAUAUAAAGCCUCUACCAAACAAGAGGAGACAAGUCGUAACAUGGUAAGUGUACUGGAAAGUGCACUUGGAUCAAC
rnacentral:ncRNA from 1 species